GCUGGAUUGACUCGGCUGGUAGAGUACGAGCCUCUCAGGCUCAGGGUCGUGGGUUCAAGCCCUAUGUUGGGCA